UACGUAGGAUGCAAGCGUUGUCCGGAUUUACUGGGCGUAAAGCGCGCGCAGGCGGCAUGGUAAGUAAGGUGUGAAAUCCAUCUGCUCAACGGGUGGGGUGCAUUUUAGACUGCCAAGCUUGAGGUCGGUAGAGGGGGGUAGAAUUGCUGGUGUAGCGGUGAAAUGCGUAGAGAUCAGCAGGAAUACCCGUGGCGAAGGCGGCCCCCUGGGCCGUACCUGACGCUGAGGCGCGAAAGCGUGGGGAGCAAACAGG
rnacentral:rRNA from 1 species